CGAGUCGCUGCCUCGUCUCAGAUCUCACGCUGGCACGCACGCGCGCUUCAGCUUCACCGCUCGCUCUCGAGGUCUCCCUCCCAUUCUCGCUCUUGGCCGUCCGCCGGCACCCUCGACGAGCGCGCCAGCCUGCCACGCAACCCGCCAGCGCCGCCACCAAGCUGGAUUCAGGCAUCCAGCGCGAAGCAGCAACCCCCCAGGGAUCCAUGCAUCUGUGCCGCCAGGAUGGACAUUGAGGCUGAGAAGCAGUCUGGAUUGUCGGUGUUUUCUCCAGGUGUCUGCCGAGCUGCUGGACGACGGGCUGCCGGAGGCGAAGGAGGCUGCCCGCUGCAGCGUGGUGGGGAGUGGGGUCGAUGCAUCGCCUUCGCCAAGGAGGCUGCGGCGGCGCGGGGGGAGGAGGACGCGCCCGCCGUGCCGCGCCCACGGUCUGACGGCGCCGAGCCAGAUCGAGCUAAACGUGGUGGAGCCGAACAUUUAGCUCGUUAGCACAAACGAGCCAGCUCGUUAUGCUAAACUAGGCAAGUCAAGGUAAAUUCAUGCCUUUACCUGGAGGAGGUCACCAACAUUGACGAAGAAUGCUGAUGGGUCUGCCGGCACCUGAACCCACACCUCCUUGCCAUCGCCGUUUGGUAGAAGCACCUGCAGGCCAUUAACGUCGUUUGCUCGGAG